GACGAACGCUGGCGGCGUGCCUAACACAUGCAAGUCGAACGGGACUCAGGCCUUCGGGACUGAGUUUAGUGGCGAACGGGUGAGUAACGCGUGAGGAACCUGCCUUUCAGUGGGGGACAACAGUUGGAAACGACUGCUAAUACCGCAUAAUACUUUCGAGCGGCAUCGUUUGAAAGUCAAAGAUUUAUUGCUGAAAGAUGGCCUCGCGUCUGAUUAGCUGGUUGGUGAGGUAACGGCCCACCAAGGCGACGAUCAGUAGCCGGUCUGAGAGGAUGAACGGCCACAUUGGGACUGAGAUACGGCCCAGACUCCUACGGGAGGCAGCAGUGGGGAAUAUUGGGCAAUGGGGGAAACCCUGACCCAGCAACGCCGCGUGAAGGAAGAAGGCCCUUC
rnacentral:rRNA from 1 species